rnacentral:tRNA from 1 species
GGUUGAUCUAAAUAUUUGAUUUGAACUCUAAUUACAAACGUUUAAAAUGCGUUUAUCAACUU